GAUGAAGAACGUAGCGAAAUGCGAUAAGUAAUGUGAAUUGCAGAAUUCAGUGAAUCAUCGAAUCUUUGAACGCACAUUGCGCCCGCUAGUAUUCUGGCGGGCAUGCCUGUCCGAGCGUUAUUUCAACCCUCAAGCCCCCGGGCUUGGUGUUGGGGAUCGGCGAGCCUCCGCGCCCGCCGUCCCCUAAAUCUAGUGGCGGUCUCGCUGUAGCUUCCUCUGCGUAGUAGCACACCUCGCACUGGGAAACAGCGCGGCCACGCCGUUAAACCCCCAACUUCUGAACGUUUGACCUCAGAUCAGGUAGGAAUACCCGCUGAACUUAAGCAUAUCAAUAAGCGGAGGA
rnacentral:misc_RNA from 1 species